UCACUGCUGAAGAGUCCCAUACUAGGACGAAACGGCCGUCCAGUGC
rnacentral:hammerhead_ribozyme from 1 species